rnacentral:rRNA from 1 species
GACGAACGCUGGCGGCGUGCCUAAUACAUGCAAGUCGAACGCAGUGGGGACGGGUGAGUAACACGUGGGUAACCUCCCAUCAGAGGGGAUAACACUUGGAAACAGGUGCUAAACCGAUACUGAUGGAUGGACCCGCGGUGCAUUAGCUAGUUGGUGAGGUAACGGCUCACCAAGGCCACGAUGCAUAGCUGACCUGAGGGGGUGAUCGGCCACACGGGGACUGAGAGACGGCCCAGAGUCCUGCGAGAUGCAGCAAUAGAGAGUCUUCGGCAAUGGACGAAAGUCUGACCGAGCAACGCAGCGUGAUUGAAGAAGGUUUUCGGAUCGUAAACCUCUGUUGUUAGAGAAGCGGUAUCUAACCAGAACGCCACGGCUAACUACGUGCCAGCCGCCGCGGUAAUUC